rnacentral:rRNA from 1 species
GGGGAAUCUUGCACAAUGGGGGCAACCCUGAUGCAGCGACGCCGCGUGAGCGAUGAAGCCCUUCGGGGCGUAAAGCUCUUUCGACCGGAACGAUAAUGACGGUACCGGGAGAAGAAGCUGCGGCUAACUACGUGCCAGCAGCCGCGGUAAUACGUAGGCAGCAGGCGUUGUUCGGAGUUACUGGGCGUAAAGAGUGCGUAGGCGGUUUUCUAAGUUCGGUGUGAAAUCUCCCGGCUUAACUGGGAGGGUGCGCCGAAGACUGGGAAGCUGGAGUGUGGGAAAGGCAAGCGCAAUUCCUGGUGUGGCGGUGAAAUGCGUAGAUAUCAGGAGGAACACCGGCGGUGUAGACGGCUUGCUAGACCAUAACUGACGCUGAGGCACGAAAGCGUGGGUAGCAAACA